GCGAGGGUUGAGAUUUUAGGUAUUUGCAGUCACACGAUGAUUGAAAGCAUAAUCUUAUGAAAAAGGUUUUUAAGAAGCAUAAGACGCACGACAAUGGAAGGCUGUUGGAUUUUGGUUGCUUUUGUCUUAGUAAACUUUCUCAUCAUGCAUUUCCAGUUAAAGAAUCUCUGAAAAUACGACCUGUUAUCUAUUCAUAGCAGGAGGAAGGCAUUAGUUUUUGUAAAUUGUCAGUUGGAACAUGGUGAUCGCAAAACAUAUUUUAUUGAGAGAAUCAAUAAUGCGCUGGACCUCGGAUUCUUCUGUAGGGCGUAUUAUUUACAUAAAAUUGUAAUAGUUAUCUUAAAAAUAAACUUUUUGAUUGAUUGAUUAA